rnacentral:tRNA from 1 species
AGUAUGAUAAGCUAAAAAGCUCUUGGGCCCAUACCCCAAAUAUGUUGGUUAAACUCCUUCUCUUACUA